AUGUAUUCAAAUUCAUUUAGCAAAUCCGUCUCCAAACAUCAGCAUCUAGGCAGAGUGGAGAAUUCAUAGCUUCAUGAACACAAGUCAACAAACACGAAAUGAACACAACAUACGAUUUUAUAACACCUGUGGCACUAACAAUCCAUUACCCUGUCGAUACAAACACAAACUAAGUUGAUAGAUUUAGAUAAAUUGUUUUGAAAUUUAAAAGUUGGAUAUUUUAUAG